rnacentral:rRNA from 1 species
AUUGAACGCUGGCGGCAGGCCUAACACAUGCAAGUCGAACGGUAGCACAGAGAGCUUGCUCUCGGGUGAUGAGUGGCGGACGGGUGAGUAAUGUCUGGGAAACUGCCCGAUGGAGGGGGAUAACUACUGGAAACGGUAGCUAAUACCGCAUAACGUCGCAAGACCAAAGUGGGGGACCUUCGGGCCUCACACCAUCGGAUGUGCCCAGGUGGGAUUAGCUAGUAGGUGGGGUAAUGGCUCACCUAGGCGACGAUCCCUAGCUGGUCUGAGAGGAUGACCAGCCACACUGGAACUGAGACACGGUCCAGACUCCUACGGGAGGCAGCAGUGGGGAAUAUUGCACAAUGGGCGCAAGUCUGAUGCAGCCAUGCCGCGUGUAUGAAGAAGGCCUUCGGGUUGUAAAGUACUUUCAGCGGGGAGGAAGGCGGUGAAGUUAAUAACUUCACCGAUUGACGUUACCCGCAGAAGAAGCACCGGCUAACUCCGUGCCAGCCGCCGCCGUAA